GGGAUGGAUAGAGGAUCAUCAGGAAUGAGAAUAUUGGAACUCCACAUGUGGAUGGGUGUGGCUCAAAAAAUGAGACAUGAACUGAGGCUUUCUCAGCCAGGGCUACUGCUGGGGCACUGGAGAAAAGCAGCCCCUUAGGUCAGCCUGCAGAGUGAGGUGGACCUCAGACCACAUUCACAUUGAUCGGCUGCAAAUUGCUGGUGGGAAAGGGAAUUAGAACAAGCCCUAUGGAAGGCAAUUUGAUAUCAUCUAUCAAAAUUGCAAGUACACAGACCAUUUGACCCAGCAAUCCCACCUCCAGGAAUUUAUCCUCCAGUUUUGUUUUAGGCUGCAAAGUUUAACAUCCUUGAAAUAUCAACUCAAACUCUUGGAUCAACUGAAGUAAAGUUUUCAGAGCCAACUAACUUUAUAAGAAUAAGGACAGUCUUACAAAAGAAGCUAUCCAGAUGCCUCAUUGGUGACUGCUUGAAUGAAUAUUUGAGUACAUGAAAAUGUGAAGCUGUUAUGGACAUCUAUACUCAGAUCACCACAACCACUCUGAAUCUAAUCAGAAAUGGAUAUGUUUGUCUAAAUGGAUUGAAGCCACAGCAUUUCCAAAUUCCAAAUGGCAACCCACCCUGAAGGGGCAAGAGUGUCAGCAAAUCAAAGUGAGAACUGACAAGUGUCAUUUUUGCCGCAAAAACCAAACACUAUGAUUGCACCUCGUGAUAUGAAAAAUUAUAUGCAUUAAUAUGUCUAAGACAUUUCCUUUUUAUUAAAAGUAACAUUUUCAGUCUAAAUUUCUUAAAUUAGUGGUAACAAUUUAAAAACAAAAAGCUCUGUAAACCAAAAAAUUUUCCAGGACAGUUAAUAUAAGUUGAUUAGCUGCAUUUCAAGGAAAUGGAAAGUUGGUAAAAGAAAUUAAGGCCAACAUUAUAAUCUUCUCUAAGGCAGUUCAUUUACUGAGUGGCUUAAUUGUUUUUCAAAUAUCUGGGGAGGGGAAGUUGGCUAAAGGCUUCAUAUUUGCUAUCGUCCUUUUUUAACAAUCCCUCACUAGCACAGAAAUAUAUGGAAGAGCAAUAUCAACAACAAAGUGUGUGAUUAUAGAAAGAGGCUUCUAAGGUAUAUGAUCUCAUGAAAUAAAGCCACAUAUAUAUAUUCUGAUUUCCUACCAUUCAACCCAGCAAUCCCAUUACUGGGUAUAUACCCAAAGGAAUAUAAGUCAUUCUAUUAUAAAGACACAUGCACACGUUCAUUGCAGCACUAUUCACAAUAGCAAAGACAUGGAAUCAACCUAAAUGCCCAUGAAUGAUAGACUGGAUAAAGAAAAAGUGGUAUAUGUACACCAUGGAAUACCAUGCAGCCAUAAUAAAGAACGAGAUCAUGUCCUUUGCAGGGACAUGGAAGGAGCUGGAAGUCAUUAUCCUCAGCAAACUAAUGCAGGAACAGAAAACCAAAUACCACCUGUUCCUACUAAUAAGUAGGAGCUAAAUGAUGAGAACACAUGGACACAUAGAGGGGAACAAUAGACACUGGGGCCUAUCAGAGGAUGGAUGAUGGGAGGAGGGAGAGGAUCAAGAAAAAUAACUAAUGGAUACUAGGCUUAAUACCUGGGUGAUGAAAUAAUCUGUACAACAAAUCCCUAUGACAUAAGUUUACCUAUAUAACAAACCUGCACACGUACUCCCUGAACUUAAAAGUUAAAUUUAAAAAAUUACAAAUA
ensembl:lncRNA novel transcript, antisense to FHOD3